UAUCUCUCCGUACGGGGAAGGAUGAGAAGCUUCGACUAAGGUUCGAUUCGAGCGAAAGCGAGAAAGCGUUGCCGCAGGCAACGACCCGAAGGGCGAAGCGCGCAGCGCUGAGUCAUCCUUCCCCCACCACCA
rnacentral:sRNA from 94 species